GGAGAAGAGGCAUCAUGGGAAGAACUCUGUUCUUUGGUAGGUGGGAGAUGCCAUCUUUUUAGACUUACUGCAGCUAACACAACCAUGACAGAGAUUUAGCAGUUUUGGAGGAAGCAAUUCAGAAGAGCAAAUCUACAGGAUUCUGGAGUCUGGUUAAGGGAACAUUGUUGACUUCUCAUGUAUAAGAGUGCCAGUGCAUCUGUCUCCAUUAGCAUUGUCAGGCGGGUUUUAUAAAAUCAUAUUACAAAAUGUGGGUCAGUGAUCACUGAGUCGUGUAAUUUAUCAAGACAAUACCCAGAUGCACUGUUGGACAUUCCUUGCAAGGGGAUGCAAUCUA